UACGUAGGGGCCUAGCGUUGUCCGGAAUUAUUGGGCGUAAAGGGCGCGUAGGCGGUGUGUCAAGUCAGGCGUGAAAGCCCCGGGCUCAACCUGGGAACCGCGCUUGAGACUGGCACGCUCGAGUUCGGGAGAGGAUGGUGGAAUUCCCAGUGUAGAGGUGAAAUUCGUAGAUAUUGGGAAGAACACCGAUGGCGAAGGCAGCCAUCUGGACCGACACUGACGCUGAGGCGCGAAAGCGUGGGGAGCAAACAGG
rnacentral:rRNA from 1 species